ACAAACAGUCUUUGACUUUCUAAAAUCCACGUUUCUAAUUUAAAUUUUGCAUCACCAUCUCCAGUUUUUUAUUAUAUGGCUGUCGACAGCCAGAUUAAUGUUCAGCAUUAACGUGAACAGUGCAACUGUUUGCAUUUCAUGCCUUGAAGCUGCCAAGCGCAGCACUUUAUGGAAAUGUGCGCAAGACCUGGGCUCGUCUGCAAUGCUGUGAAGAUCUGAGGAGUUUUGUGCGGAUUCUUCGGAUUUUGGAAAAUGUUGCCCAACAGGAUAACUGUGCAUGACGACAUGCAGUAGGACAGCAGGAUCAAUGAGUGAUUGCGUCGGCUUCCCAAAAGCAGAUUUGCCGUGCGAUGCAUGGAUGUCGACAUCCAAAACUGAAUGCAGAAUGCCUGGCUAGUGCUACCUUUUUUAGGAUCUCAUACUGAGCUGUUCAGGCUUUUUAAUUCAUAGAAUAUCGGGUUCUGCGUGAUAACUGUGUUACGGAUCGUGUUUUCAUUGCUAAUGGCAUCGUCGCUGUGUUUUAGACAAGCUCGCUGUUA